GGUCAGGCCAAACUGCCCUUCGCUGCAAGACGACGGCAGCACGGGAGCAAUCCUGGUGGCGAGUGGCGAACGGGAGAGUAAUAUAUCGGAACGUGCCCAGUCGUGGGGGAUAACGUAGCGAAAGCUACGCUAAUACCGCAUACGAUCUAUGGAUGAAAGCGGGGGAUCGCAAGACCUCGCGCGAUUGGAGCGGCCGAUAUCAGAUUAGCUAGUUGGUGGGGUAAAAGCCCACCAAGGCGACGAUCUGUAGCUGGUCUGAGAGGACGACCAGCCACACUGGAACUGAGACACGGUCCAGACUCCUACGGGAGGCAGCAGUGGGGAAUUUUGGACAAUGGGCGAAAGCCUGAUCCAGCAAUGCCGCGUGCAGGACGAAGGCCUUCGGGUUGUAAACUGCUUUUGUACGGAACGAAACGGUCUCCUCUAAUACGGGGGGCUAAUGACGGUACCGUAAGAAUAAGCACCGGCUAACUACGUGCCAGCAGCCGCGGUAAUACGUAGGGUGCGAGCGUUAAUCGGAAUUACUGGGCGUAAAGCGUGCGCAGGCGGUUAUAUAAGACAGAUGUGAAAUCCCCGGGCUCAACCUGGGACCUGCAUUA
rnacentral:rRNA from 1 species